AUUGAACGCUGGCGGCAUGCUUUACACAUGCAAGUCGGACGGCAGCGGGGUAGUGCUUGCACUACUGCCGGCGAGUGGCGAACGGGUGAGUAAUAUAUUGGAACGUACCGAGUAAUGGGGGAUAACCAAUCGAAAGAUUGGCUAAUACCGCAUACGCUCUGAGGAGGAAAGCAGGGGACCUUCGGGCCUUGCGUUAUUCGAGCGGCCAAUAUCUGAUUAGCUAGUUGGUGGGGUAAGGGCCUACCAAGGCGACGAUCAGUAGCGGGUCUGAGAGGAUGAUCCGCCACACUGGGACUGAGACACGGCCCAGACUCCUACGGGAGGCAGCAGUGGGGAAUUUUGGACAAUGGGCGCAAGCCUGAUCCAGCCAUGCCGCGUGUCUGAAGGAGGCCUUCGGGUUGUAAAGGACUUUUGUUAGGGAAGAAAAAGGAGCGGUUAAUACCCGGUUCUGCUGACGGUACCUAAAGAAUAAGCACCGGCUAACUACGUG
rnacentral:rRNA from 1 species